CGGUAGGCCUAACACAUGCAAGUCGAACGGCAGCACAGUAAGAGCUUGCUCUUAUGGGUGGCGAGUGGCGGACGGGUGAGGAAUACAUCGGAAUCUACCUUUUCGUGGGGGAUAACGUAGGGAAACUUACGCUAAUACCGCAUACGACCUUCGGGUGAAAGCAGGGGACCUUCGGGCCUUGCGCGGAUAGAUGAGCCGAUGUCGGAUUAGCUAGUUGGCGGGGUAAAGGCCCACCAAGGCGACGAUCCGUAGCUGGUCUGAGAGGAUGAUCAGCCACACUGGAACUGAGACACGGUCCAGACUCCUACGGGAGGCAGCAGUGGGGAAUAUUGGACAAUGGGCGCAAGCCUGAUCCAGCCAUACCGCGUGGGUGAAGAAGGCCUUCGGGUUGUAAAGCCCUUUUGUUGGGAAAGAAAAGCAAUCGAUUAAUACUCGGUUGUUCUGACGGUACCCAAAGAAUAAGCACCGGCUAACUUCGUGCCAGCAGCCGCGGUAAUACGAAGGGUGCAAGCGUUACUCGGAAUUACUGGGCGUAAAGCGUGCGUAGGUGGUUGUUUAAGUCUGUUGUGAAAGCCCUGGGCUCAACCUGGGAAUUGCAGUGGAUACUGGGCAACUAGAGUGUGGUAGAGGGUAGUGGAAUUCCCGGUGUAGCAGUGAAAUGCGUAGAGAUCGGGAGGAACAUCCAUGGCGAAGGCAGCUACCUGGACCAACACUGACACUGAGGCACGAAAGCGUGGGGA
rnacentral:rRNA from 1 species